GCGAUGCCGAAGAUGGGCAAAAGAACAUUUUACGCAUGCGCUCGAUUGCUUAAAGAAAGAUGGACUCUGAGACAAAACGUGUGCUUGUAAUUAAAUAAAGUUUUACUUUUCCUACCUGCAUAAAAUAUAACGAAAAAAUUACACCUGAACCAGUUGGGUUUGAGAGUGAGUCUAAAUACUGAAGACGAUGCUUAAAAUUUUUAAAAAAGAAUUUUCUGAAGUUUCUCACUUUUUCACUAUACAAUCUAAAAAGUCAAACCCUUAAAGUACCAAGAACUGUCGGCUUGUUCAUUCAGCUCCUCUCAGUGCUCAAAGACAUUUCCAGAUAUGAGUUGCUUUCGUAAUUCUAAAUCCUUAUGAAGAUAAUAGAUAUCGCCUUCAUUUUCUGCGUCUUAAGAUAACAAGAUAGCAAACUUCUCAUAUGUCAGAUGCAUAAAUCAACCAC